AUGACUUUGUAUCACUGUGGUAACACGUUUUUGGAGGAACCAGACUGGAUGUUGGAAGUUUUUGUACGGCGGCUCAAUGACUUUGUAUCACUGUGGUUGACUUUUGGUGGAGGAACCAGACUGGAUGUUGGAAGUGAUGCCCGUCCCACCCUGACGGUGCUGCCCCCCUCCAGUGAGGAGCUGCAGCAGGGGAAGGCCACGCUCAUGUGCCUGGCCAACAAGGGCUUCCCCUCAGACUGGAGUCUGGCCUGGAAGGUGGACGGCAGCAGCAGCAGCAGCAGCAGCAGCUGGGAGGAGAGCAGGAGCCCCGGGGUGCUGGAGAAGGACGGCCACUACAGCUGGAGCAGCACCCUGAGGCUCACUGCAGACCAGUGGAGGAAGGUGGGCUCUGUGACCUGUGAGGCCACCCAGGGCUCCCAGGCUCUGCUCUCAGAGACACUGAGGAGAGACCAGUGUUCCCAGUCCUGACCUGACUCACUGGGACUCUGCUACUGGUUUCAGUCUCUGCAACUCUUCCUCUCUUUUCAUACAAGAUUUAAAAAGUGAUAUUUUCUUGCUUAUUAAGAUGCUGACAACCUUUUCAGAUAAUAAAGAUGUUUUCCUUCAAA